rnacentral:ncRNA from 2 species
CUUCUUAUUAAAAAGUCAUCUCGUAUAUAUUUGGGAUCAGGCCUGAAUGUUUCUACCCGGAAACCUUAAUUUUCGGACUACGAGCAAGAUGAAUCGUCAU